GCAUGGCUGGCUUAGUUGGUAGAGCAUGCAACUCUCAAUCUCAGGGUCAUGAGUUCAAGCCCCAUGUUGGGCA
rnacentral:tRNA from 1 species